rnacentral:lncRNA from 1 species
UGGAUCCUUUGCUCUUGUCAAACAGAACCUUCAUAAAUCUGCCAUUUGGGUGAGCAUGGUGGGGCCAGCUUUUUGUGAGGUGAAACUCCAAACCAGCUUCCAUUCUCGGGAUUGAAACAUCCAGGCACCUUUGAGAACCAACAGGACGUUCAUGUGCAGAAGAUGUGAUUUCUUCAAUCUAAAGACAGUGGAGAGAGGGGUGUGUGCGUGUGUGCACGGGUGCACGUAUGCAAAUUUGCUGGCCCCUCACAAAAGCUCUAGUUUCUGGAAGGAGAGCCCGAGUGUCCUCAGGCCCAGCGGUUCCAAGCAUUACUGGGUGCCUCCACUGAGAUAGCAAAGGACUCACAGGUCUCCAGGCACCUGGUAAUAAUGUGGAAUUGGCCGGGGCUGCCUGUUGCUGAGGAAGUUCUUGUCAAGUCUGGCCUUGGUGGGAGCACCAGUGGUAGUCAGAGGUUCUUCACCUUUUUUGGGUCAUAGACCCCUUGGAGUGAAAAUGUUGGAGGUUUCUCCUGAAAAGCACACUGCAAUUCAGGGGAUCCCCUGGGUCCUGGAGUCCAUGCAUAGGCAUCAUGGACCCCACAUGGAAACCUCCCUGAUUGAGAGGUCUCGAAAGCUUUUCCAGUCCUAAGAGUACAGUUUCUAAUUUGCUGGAGUCGGCUGGACUUUCAUUCCCUGGCAGAGCCAUUUUGGAGGAUAAGAAGAUGUGUCUUCUCUACCACCGCACAUGCGGUCCACAGUGACUGAGGGGAGUGUCACGGUGCCACCUUGUGCUUCUGUCCUGAAACUGCACCUUCUCUGGGGCCCAUGCUCAGGUCCACACUGCCCACCUCUCACUCCAUGAGCCUCACUCCCUACCACUCUCCCACCUUCUUACUCUGACCAAGCCACAUGGACUCCUGACGUCCCUGCCUUGGGGGCCUUUGCACUGACUGUUCCCCCUGCCUGAAGUCUGGGUUUAAAGCCGUAUACACAAGUGCAGUUUGUACAGUCAUAUCAUGAACCAAGAAAAAAAGCAAAUGUUUAUGAAGAUGCCUUUAUUUUCACUUGGCCUAAAGCGAGAAAGUAUCACAUGAGUAUAUAAAAGAAUUUUUUAAAUUUUGAGGCAGCUUUGAGGAGAGAUUGAGGAAGAUGAGAGGGUGUAGUAGUAAGCUCUCAUUAAGUUUUGCUGCAAUAACAAAUAGCCUCAAAAAUCUCAGUGGCUAGGCCGGGCGUGGUGUCUCAUGCCUGUAAUCCCAGCACUUUGGGAGGCUGGGAUGGAUGGAUCACCUGAGGUCAGAAGUUCAAGACCAGCCUGGCCAACAUAGUGAAACCCUAUCUCUACUAAAAAUACUAAAUAAAUUAGCCGGGUGUGGUGGCAGGCAGCUGUAAUCCCAACUACUUGGGAGGCUGAGGC